rnacentral:rRNA from 1 species
AUGAAUGGAUGGGGCCUUGCUUUCCGAGCCUGUGGUGACCGGCUGAUUGUCAUUGGAGGCCCAAGGACUUCUAUUGGUGGCAUCAUUGAGCUUAAUUCAUGGGUUCCCGAUGAGCAACCGCCUGUGUGGAAUUUGGUUGCCACACGGCAAUCCGGGAACUUCGUGUAUAACUGCGCCGUGAUGGGUUGCUGA